rnacentral:rRNA from 1 species
UACGGGGGGAGCAAGCGUUGUUCGGAUUUACUGGGCGUAAAGGGCGCGUAGGCGGUCAGCACAAGUCAGUUGUGAAAUCUCCGGGCUUAACCGGGGAACUGCGUCUGAUACUGGAUGGCUUGAGGUUGGGAGAGGGAUGCGGAAUUCCAGGUGUAGCGGUGAAAUGCGUAGAUAUCUGGAGGAACACCGGUGGCGAAGGCGGCAUCCUGGACCAAUUCUGACGCUGAGGAGCGAAAGCCAGGGGAGCAAACGGG